rnacentral:rRNA from 1 species
GACGAACGCUGGCGGCGUGCUUAACACAUGCAAGUCGAACGAUGAACCCGGAGCUUGCUCCGGCGGAUUAGUGGCGAACGGGUGAGUAACACGUGAGUAACCUGCCCUUGACUCUGGGAUAACUGCGGGAAACUGUAGCUAAUACCGGAUACGACCCUCGGCGGCAUCGCCAGGGGGUGGAAAGAAUUUCGGUCAGGGAUGGACUCGCGGCCUAUCAGCUAGUUGGUGAGGUAAAGGCUCACCAAGGCGACGACGGGUAGCCGGCCGGAGAGGGUGACCGGCCACACUGGGACUGAGACACGGCCCAGACUCCUACGGGAGGCAGCAGUGGGGAAUAUUGCACAAUGGGCGCAAGCCUGAUGCAGCAACGCCGCGUGAGGGAUGACGGCCUUCGGGUUGUAAACCUCUUUUAGCAGGGAAGAAGCGAAAGUGACGGUACCUGCAGAAAAAGCACCGGCUAACUACGUGCCAGCCGCCGCAGUAA